rnacentral:rRNA from 1 species
UUCUUCUAGAUUAUAUUAGAAGUAAGCCCUGCCCAAUGAAAUUUUAAAUGGCCGCGGUAUUCUAACCGUGCAAAGGUAGCAUAAUCACUUGCCCGUUAAUUGCGGGCUAGUAUGAACGGGUAAACGAAAUAAAUUCUGUCUCAAUAUUUAUUUAAUAAAUUAACAUUUAAGUGAAGAGGCUUAAAUAAAUUUGUAGGACAAGAAGACCCUAUAGAGCUAAACCAAUAUUUUAUAUCUUAUAAAAAGAGGUUCGGUUGGGGCGACCUAGGAAUAUUUAUCAUCCUAAAAAUAUAAGAUAUAUAUAUCACUAUUAUGAUCCUAUAAUGAUCAAAAAAUCAAGCUACCUUAGGGAUAACAGGCUAAUUCAUUCCAAGAGACCUUAUCUAAGAAAGAGUUUGGCACCUCGAUGUUGGCUUAGGAAAUAUUUAUAAUGCAGAAGUUAUAAAAAAAAGUUUGUUCAACUUAUAAUAUCCU